rnacentral:rRNA from 1 species
UACGAAGGGGGCUAGCGUUGCUCGGAAUCACUGGGCGUAAAGCGCACGUAGGCGGAUUGUUAAGUCAGGGGUGAAAUCCUGGAGCUCAACUCCAGAACUGCCUUUGAUACUGGCGAUCUCGAGUCCGGGAGAGGUGAGUGGAACUGCGAGUGUAGAGGUGAAAUUCGUAGAUAUUCGCAAGAACACCAGUGGCGAAGGCGGCUCACUGGCCCGAGUACUGACGCUGAGCACGAAGCGUGGGAGCAACAGGAUAGAUGACCCUAGUACGUCAGAC